AGAUUGAACGCUGGCGGCAGGCCUAACACAUGCAAGUCGAGCGGUAGAGAGGUGCUUGCAUCUCUUGAGAGCGGCGGACGGGUGAGUAAUGCCUAGGAAUCUGCCUAGUGGUGGGGGAUAACGUUCGGAAACGGACGCUAAUACCGCAUACGUCCUACGGGAGAAAGCGGGGGACCUUCGGGCCUCGCGCCAUUAGAUGAGCCUAGGUCGGAUUAGCUAGUUGGUGAGGUAAUGGCUCACCAAGGCGACGAUCCGUAACUGGUCUGAGAGGAUGAUCAGUCACACUGGAACUGAGACACGGUCCAGACUCCUACGGGAGCAGCAGUGGGGGAAUAGUUGGACAAUGGGGCGAAAGCCUGAUCCCAGCCAUACCCGCGUGUG
rnacentral:rRNA from 1 species